AUGAAGUCGCCGCCGCCGCCGCCGCCGCCCACGCCGGCCGCUUUCGGCGAGCUCCAGCGCCGCACAGCACGCCCCCGAGCCCCCCCAAGCUCCGCGCCUCCCUCCUCUCCGUCCAGAUUCUCCGCUCCCGGCCUCUACUGCCCGCUCGCAACCACACCCCCGUGGCUAGGGUUUCGGGCAGUGCUUCGCCGGCCCGUCUCCGGCGGCCCCAGAUGCAGAUGGAGCACGCCAUGGGAUUUCCCCAUCCACCACGCUCGCUGCCGUCAAGGGCAGGAAGGAACCCUAGCCAGCAGCACCUCCUCACCUCGGAUGAUGCCUCUGCUGCACCAAGAUAGGGUUUUGUUCGAUCCUACACUUAAAGAAAAUCAUACUGAAGAUCUGAGCUUAAGUGUUCCAACAGCUGAAGCACCAGCUCAAGAUGAAGGGAAUCUCUUAAUAUGA
rnacentral:rRNA from 1 species